GGAGGGUUGCGCCGAAUGGUAAGGCAACGGUUUGCUAAACCGUGAGGACCUUAAAAAUCCUCUAUGGGUUCGAUUCCCGUACCCUCCG
rfam:Candidatus Nomurabacteria bacterium RIFCSPLOWO2_12_FTLL_44_11 rifcsplowo2_12_scaffold_2370, whole genome shotgun sequence.